AUUCAUCCGCUGGUGGGGAUUUGUCGCAUUACUUGUGUUCUAUGGUAAAGUAUUGCACUUGUCCCGGCCUGUGGAGGAAAG
rnacentral:pre_miRNA from 14 species